CCUACGGGAGGCAGCAGUAGGGAAUCUUUCACAAUGGGCGCAAGCCUGAUGGAGCAACGCCGCGUGCAGGAAGAAGGCCUUCGGGUUGUAAACUGCUUUUAUAAGCGAGAAAUAUGAUGGUAACUUAUGAAUAAGGAUCGGCUAACUACGUGCCAGCAGCCGCGGUCAUACGUAGGAUCCGAGCAUGAGCCAGAGUGACUGGGUGUAAAGAGUUGCGUAGGUGGCAUACUAAGUAGCUAGUGGAAUCUGGUGGCUCAACCAUUCAGACUAUUAGCUAAACUGUUAAGCUCGAGACCGUUAGGGGUAACUGGAAUUUCUAGUGUAGGAGUGAAAUCCGUAGAUAUUAGAAGGAACACCAAUAGCGUAGGCAGGUUGCUGGGACGGUUCUGACACUAAGGCACGAAAGCGUAGGGAGCAAACGGGAUUAGAUACCCCGGUAGUC
rnacentral:rRNA from 1 species